UUCAUAGCCAAAGAGAGCCUCUGCAUGCAAGCCCUCACUUAGAGAUGAGUCCGCGUACCAUUAGCUAGUUGGUGGGGUAAAGGCCUACCAAGGCAACGAUGGGUAGCCGAUCUGAGAGGAUGAUCGGCCACACUGGGACUGAAACACGGCCCAGACUCCUACGGGAGGCAGCAGUGGGGAAUAUUGCGCAAUGGGCGAAACCCUGACGCAGCAACGCCGCGUGAGUGAUGAAGGCUUUCGGGUCGUAAAGCUCUGUCAAGUGGGAAGAACCUGGUAAAGGUUAAUAUCCUGGUUACCUUGUUACGACUUCACCCCAAUCACCGGCUAACUCCGUGCCAGCAGCCGCGGUAAUACGGGGGGUGCAAGCGUUAUUCGGAUUUACUGGGCGUAAAGCGCGCGCAGGCGGUUUUUU
rnacentral:rRNA from 1 species